rnacentral:rRNA from 1 species
UUCUGUAGGUGAACCUGCGGAGGGAUCAUUACCGAGUUUACAACUCCCAAACCCAAUGUGAACGUUACCAAACUGUUGCCUCGGCGGGAUCUCUGCCCCGGGUGCGUCGCAGCCCCGGACCAAGGCGCCCGCCGGAGGACCAACCAAAACUCUUAUUGUAUACCCCCUCGCGGGUUUUUUUAUAAUCUGAGCCUUCUCGGCGCCUCUCGUAGGCGUUUCGAAAAUGAAUCAAAACUUUCAACAACGGAUCUCUUGGUUCUGGCAUCGAUGAAGAACGCAGCGAAAUGCGAUAAGUAAUGUGAAUUGCAGAAUUCAGUGAAUCAUCGAAUCUUUGAACGCACAUUGCGCCCGCCAGUAUUCUGGCGGGCAUGCCUGUCCGAGCGUCAUUUCAACCCUCGAACCCCUCCGGGGGGUCGGCGUUGGGGAUCGGCCCUGCCUUGGCGGUGGCCGUCUCCGAAAUACAGUGGCGGUCUCGCCGCAGCCUCUCCUGCGCAGUAGUUUGCACACUCGCAUCGGGAGCGCGGCGCGUCCACAGCCGUUAAACACCCAACUUCUGAAUAUGUGACCUCGGAUCAGGUAGGAAUACCCGC